UCCGGUGUGAUGGUGGAAACGUAUCUUUGCCAUGAGUUUCUUUGUGCCUCUAAUAUCCGCCGGCGACACUCGGAUCUUCGUUUUUUAAAUUCGAUUAAAUUCUCCAUUGUAGGAUGGCGACGGAACCUAUUUAUUGCUCUUUUCUUUAAUAAAAUUUUUUCUUUUAUUUCAGGUGACCACCACGGAACCAUCUUCCUUAUAUUGCCAGGUUUAGAUCUUGGAAUGCUGGCCUCGGCGGCAUUUAAAAUAGAUGAGGUUAGCGUAUGGAGAUUUACCUGGCUUGGCGGGACGAGCAGCCGUGUGAAAAGUUCCCAAUUUGCUUGUUGCAUUUUAAAUUUGGCUAUCGUUCUCACAGGAGUGUUCCUGCCUUGCAAGAUCCAACAACUCCCUGCCACGAGCAUCGUCUGAGCGGGAGCCCCAAACGGUGCUGUGAGAGUUAAAAUCCCCAACUAGUAUAAAAGGUGCCGGAAGCUGAUCUACGAUUUUACCAAUCUCUUGGACAUCAUAAGUAUUAUUGGGAACGUAAAUAUUACACAGUGUAAGAGAACUGCUAAUUUCAAGUUGUACCGCUACAGCUUGAUAAGGCGUAUCUGGUUUAACCCGUUUAUAAGGUAUGCCUUGUCGGAUGAGGAAGGCCACCCCUCCACAGGCUCUUGCUGGUACCAGGUGCGUUUCUUGAAGGGCAAUACACCAAGGAUUAUGCUUUUGAAUUAGCAGUUUCAGCUCAUUUAAAUUGUUGGAGAGUCCUCGACAGUUCCAUUGGACAAUUUUUGUUGUAUCCAUUAAAUGACAAUCACAAUUGAAUAAGCAACAUAUAAAUAUAAAUAACAAUAAAAUAACGGUGUAUAUGAGGACAUUCACAAUAAAUAUAUGUACACUUUUACAUAAAUAAAUGAUAGACAAACAAAACAUAUAUGUAUAUC